UGGGGAAUAUUGCACAAUGGGCGCAAGCCUGAUGCAGCCAUGCCGCGUGUAUGAAGAAGGCCUUCGGGUUGUAAAGUACUUUCAGCGGGGAGGAAGGGAGUAAAGUUAAUACCUUUGCUCAUGGACGUUACCCGCAGAAGAAGCACCGGCUAACUCCGUGCCAGCAGCCGCGGUAAUACGGAGGGUGCAAGCGUUAAUCGGAAUUACUGGGCGUAAAGCGCACGCAGGCGGUUUGUUAAGUCAGAUGUGAAAUCCCCGGGCUCAACCUGGGAACUGCAUCUGAUACUGGCAAGCUUGAGUCUCGUAGAGGGGGGUAGAAUUCCAGGUGUAGCGGUGAAAUGCGUAGAGAUCUGGAGGAAUACCGGUGGCGAAGGCGGCCCCCUGGACGAAGACUGACGCUCAGGUGCGAAAGCGUGGGGAGCAAACAGG
rnacentral:rRNA from 1 species